CGUGCGUGUGCGCAGGCCCAGAUGCUUCUUCAUGCAAAGAGAAGUCUCCAGCCCUGUGAGCAAGUUCUGUUUAACCACUGCAUCCUUGACAAAAUGGGCAGUCACAUCAAGUCGUGUCGUUAACAAAAGGCUGUGGCACUUGAGGGACAAUGAACACAUCCUGAAUGGGAAAGCCAGAACGAUCACCCCUUUCCCACCCCAAAAGACAGUGCGCAUCACUUUAUACGCUGAGAGCUGCAUCUUGAACUUUUUUUUCAUGAGAAAUUUCCAUCAUCACUCCACGGACUGCUGUUUUGACUCCACCUUGUACUGGUGACACUAUGUCUCGUCACAAGUAAUGGUGCAAUCCAGGAAACUGCUUCAGCCUUGUGUUU